GGUUUGUUAAGUCAGAUGUGAAAGCCCUGGGCUCAACCUAGGAAUCGCAUUUGAAACUGACAAGCUAGAGUACUGUAGAGGGGGGUAGAAUUUCAGGUGUAGCGGUGAAAUGCGUAGAGAUCUGAAGGAAUACCGGUGGCGAAGGCGGCCCCCUGGACAGAUACUGACACUCAGAUGCGAAAGCGUGGGGAGCAAACAGGAUUAGAUACCCUGGUAGUCCACGCCGUAAACGAUGUCUACUUGGAGGUUGUG
rnacentral:rRNA from 1 species